AAGUGCUGGGAUUACAGGCGUGAGCCACUGUGCCCGGCCGAGUUUUUCAAUAUAAAUGUACUUUAUUUGAGUUACAGAGAAGAGAUAUAUAACUGGAAAAGACCUGGUUAUUACUGUUACAGUAAUUCAAAGAUGAAGUAGGGAGAUUGUCUCUGCCACUGUUUCAGUUUUAUCCUGUUGCUUUCAAGUGGUUUGAUGGGCUUGAUAGACCGUGGGUCUGAUGUUUGAUACAUGAUGAUUUGAAAUCAGAAAGGUGUUUGGUGUUACUAUCCUGCUCUUACAUGACUUCAAAAUUCAGACAAUACUAUUAUUCAAAUGAAUAGACUUUGCACCUUCAUAGGUUCCCCUAUAAAGUCUAAACUUCAAGAAUUUAGUCUCACAGCUUCAAUGACAAAAAGAGAAUUGAAGACACUUUAAAGUAUCAUACAAUCAUAUUAACUUUGAACAAGGUGAACAAAAAAGAACUAAAUUGCAUAUUUUGUUAUUACCCAUUUCAGAAGGUGAAUUCCUGAGGCCACAAGAAAAUGCUUCAUGCCAACAAGUUUCUGUGGGAAAUGAGAACUGCAGCUGCCAACUUCACCAUUUUGCUGAUGUCACUAAGUGCAAGUUUGACUUUUCAAUUAGACCAUCUAUGCCUAAAGAUUUUUCAGAUGCCAAGAUGCUUCUUUCACAUCUUAGGAUCAUGGUGGUUUGUAAACAGAUAAGAAAGUUUGGAGUUGCCCAGAAAGAAAGCAUAGUCAUGCUUCACCAAUCCAGUGCUCACUUAUCCAUGUCAGCUCUUUAAGUCAUGUCUGAGAUCCCUGAGACUGCACAGGAAGCAUGGAACAGCAUCUGCUUGGAUUCUGGGGAGGCCUCAAGGAGCUUUUACUCAUGGCAGAAGGUGGAGCCAUCUCACAUGGCAGAGCAGAAGCAAGAGGGGGCCUGGAAAACAUAUCGGGAGAAUAAUCAAGGAAAACUUCCUCAGCCUUGUGACAAAUCUAGACAGCCAAAUACAAGAAGCACAAAGAACACCUGAGAAAUUCAUCACAAAAAGACCAUCCUUAUACCUGUCUCCUUGGGCAAGUAUUUUUCUAGGGUUGGGGCCUGAAAACGGAAUUAUUAGAUAGAAAAGUAUGUGUAGUCUCUACUUCACUAGGGUUUGUAGUUAUAGCAAUUUAUACUCCUAGUAAUAUAUGAGCUGCCCUUUCCUUACAUAACCUCCAAAACUUGACAUUAUUAGAUUUAGUCAUCUUGAUGGAUAUAAAAUAAUAUUUAUUAUUGUUCUAAUUUGGAUUUUUUUUCUGAUUAUUAUCAAGGUUAAAUUAUUUAGUUAUCCUCUUUUGUUAAUUGCCUAUUUAUCUCUUUUGCUCAUUUUUCUACUGGGUUAUUUGUUUUCUGCUUAUUAAAUUUUAGGAGUUCUUUAUAUACUAGGGAAGAGAAUCCUUUGUUCAUUAUAUGUGUAUAUUACAAAUAUCUUCUCUCAGUCUGUGACUUAUCCUUAAUUUUGUUUAGACUAUUUCCUUAAUACCAAAUUAAAAAAAGUACUAAUUUUAUUUUCCUUUUGUGUUUCUGAAAAUGUACAUGAAUUUGAAAAUAAUGGCCUUCUUUUUUAUCCUGUCAUGAAUACAGUGUAUCUCUCCAUUUAUGGAGAUUUUUUUUGUUUAGGGAUUAUUUCAUGUCCUCCAUUAUAGUAUUUUGAUUUUAUUAAUGUCUUGCAUAUCUUUUUUGUUGUUGUUAGAUUUAUUCCUAGGAAUCUUAUGGUUGCUAUUGUAAAUUCUUUUAAUUGACAUUUUCCAGUUGUUUAUUGCUGUUGUAUCGGAAUGUUAAUUUUUCAUUUAUUGAUCAUAUAUAGAGCAAUCUUGGUGAUUUAUUGUCAUAAAAUUGUUUAUAGUAUUCACAUAAUUUUUUUUUAACAUGGAGUUUAUGGCCGGGCGCGGUGGCUCACG
rnacentral:lncRNA from 1 species